ensembl:lncRNA
GGUGGUGUUUUUUGCUCCAGCCACGAACUCGGCCUGUCUUACGCGAUUGCACGCGCGACACACACCCAGACUGGGCGGACGGGAGGCCAACAGCUCGCUGGACGCGGCAGCGGCCGAGGGUGGUGGGAGGGGGCGGGAGGACAAUACGGAGCCGGGCCCGGCAGCGCGGGCGGUGCCGAUGUGUCACAGCCCGGGCGGGCCGCGGGCUCGGACCCGGGUGACCAAGAGGCGGGGGUGGGGAAGCGAGCGCCCAGCCCCCCGCCCGCCGGCCCCGGGGUAAAGAACAGCGCGGCCCGUAAACAACGGAGCGCGCCGAGCACCCGGCCCCAGGGCACCGACCGGUCACCCCUUCCGCGGACGCGGCCACUUCCAGGAACGGGAACCGCAGCCGCCCCCCACGGGCCCCGCUUAGUAACCCCCGCCCAGAAAGCAGCCGCCAGGGUCCCCUCCGCCGCCUCCCGGAACCUGCCCGCGGGCCGCCCCUCACAGGCCCGCGGCCCCGACCGCGCGCCGCCGCCGCGCGGACGCUCCCGAGGAAGGGCGCGCGGGACAGGAGAACCACUCACCAGAGCCGAGGCGCGGCGCGGCCCGACUGACUGCAGCGAGCAAGCCUGGCUGGCUGCGCGGGCAGCGAUCAGAUCGGUGCGGCUCCGUCAGCGCAGCCUGAAGCCCACGCGAGGGGAGGUGGAGAGGGACCUCGCAGGCCCGGGGCUGAGCAGGCCUCAGGGAGGCGAUGAUGGGAUCCUGCAGCCUUCGCGCACCGUGCCCCUUUGCGAGCGCGACCCGCUGCCUGAAGGAAAAAGGCACCCGAGGACCACCUCCUCCUUUGCUGCUGAGAGCAGAAAGGAAAAGCCUGAUGGCCUACUCGCUCUAAGUGUUGCCGGGACACCCGGAAUCGAGCGCCGGCGGACACCACGAGAGUGGGAGAGCCCUGACCCAGUCCCUCCCCGGAAACCUGAGGGGGUAGCUUCUGGAAACCCUUUCCCUGGGGCCGGCGGGUCUCCCAGGUUCUCGAGGUGUCUAAACCUGCCAAUAGGGAUGCAUCAAGUGCAUCCAGGAUUUUGUAGAAAGCAUCUGGCAGCCCUGCUUGUGUCUGACAAUGAAAACAACGGCGUCCGCUAACAGGUGUUCCUUUUACGCGUGGCUGCCAGGAAACUUGGAGCCACGUUCAGCGCCCAGCGAUGUCAGCCCGCCCAUCUCAAGCCCUGGUCAGAUUUUCAUCUUGUGUUGUUUAUUCUGGAGUUUAUCCAAUUGUAGGUUUUUAAGUUAUGUUCCCAAGCCAAUUAGCAUCUCUGGAGUCCAAAGCACCCUCUCUGCGAAAAGUUGCUCCCCUGGCAAAGCCUGCGCUUACCAAUCUAGCGGGAGACCCAGCGCACUGACACUGUGCCUGCCAACCAGAUUGAAGUUCCGAUUGUGUGAAAGGAUUUUACCAUUGGCUUUUGAAUUCAGGUGGAGAGAUCGAAAGAAACUGGUGGCUGGACAGCACCAGCACCAGGAUGUAUGAGCUCAUUCUUGCUCACCGGAAGAUAGCCCUGGACCUCCCAAGGCAAAAUAAAUAAAUAAUAAAAAAGCUUCCA